UACGGAGGGUGCUAGCGUUGUUCGGAAUUACUGGGCGUAAAGCGCGCGUAGGCGGCUUUGUAGGUUAGAGGUGAAAGCCCGGAGCUCAACUCCGGAACUGCCUUUAAAACUGCAUCGCUUGAAUCCAGGAGAGGUGAGUGGAAUUCCGAGUGUAGAGGUGAAAUUCGUAGAUAUUCGGAAGAACACCAGUGGCGAAGGCGGCUCACUGGACUGAUAUUGACGCUGAGGUGCGAAAGCGUGGGGAGCAAACAGG
rnacentral:rRNA from 1 species